CAGUAACACACAGGUCUGAGGUGUGUACAGUACAGGACAGUACAGGACAGUAUAAUACAGGACAGUACAGGAUCAGAGAUGGUGUUGUUCUGCUUUAUGAUAGACAUUUUAAUAAUAACGGCAAAACCAGUCUCUUCAACAGAAGAUGUUUAUAUUCAGCCAGCAGAGAUUUUUGUAAACGCUGAGGCAAAAGCUGGAGACGAUGUCCGUCUGAAAUGUAACCCCAACUUAUCUCAGGACGUAUCGGAUCAGGAUCAGAUCCACAUGUUUCUGUGUAAAGAUGGAGUGGCAGUUCAGAUGGAGCUUCUUAAUAAGGGAAAUGAUCACACCUUUAUCCUGAAGAAUGUUUCAGUGCAGGACUCUGGACUCUACAGUUGUGGCUUUUCUAAAAUAAAGCAUCGUCUGCAGGACGUGAGAUUAUCAGGAGUAAAGUCACUGUAUGUUAACGUCUCUGGUAAGAA
rnacentral:lncRNA from 1 species